ACAAUCAUUAAGAUAAUUUUAACAAGGUUGGCAACGCAGAAAAGGCGUGUACUCAACUGUUUCUUGGCGGUUUACAACACCAAUAUUAUUCUACCUUAGUUUUCAGGAGUUAUUGCAUAAAUUAUACCAACUUCGAGGUAAUAAUAUAGUGGAGUGACUGAGAAGAACUACGAAUAUCAUCAAUAAAGAUAGUGUAUCUAUAAGACGGACUUCCGAACUCGUCCCAGAUAUAAAGGAGGUGUGGGAAAAGUCUAAGGACCGGCCCUGAGACACACCACGACGUCUGUCCAGCGAGUAGAGGUCCACGUGGUCUUCCCGCUGAGGAAAGCAGCCGGAUUGUAAAGACGACCUCUUACUUCUCAAACAACGCUAAAAAUGAGCGGCACUUCUCCACCGUCAGGGGGUGAUGGAUUCCUCAACAACUAGUGAUGACGAAUUUUGAACACGUCCUUUUGAAGAAACAUCAAUGUCGCAGCCUUGAAGCCGGUCUUUACCAAAUACGGACGAUACAAAUGGUA